AUGGCAUUGUUGGACUGGAUUGAGUUGUCUGAUGACGAGGAGGUGACAGUCAAAGAAAGACUUCCUCCAGAAAAAGUCAAAGAAGAAUUUCCUUCAACAGAAGUCAAAGAAGAAUUUCCUCCCACAAUAGUGAAAGAAGAACUGGAUACUCAUGUACAUGGGACAGCUCAGUUGGAAGUAGAAAUUGUUGAUUUAACCACAGAAGAAGCUGACGUUGAAGAGGAUAGGAAUGCUCACGGGAAAGGGGAUGCUGCUCAGGGGGCAACGACAUCACAUAGACAACAGUUUGUUGCACCUCAUGGACAAGGCGGGGCACCUCAGACAGUGGUACCAAGACAAGAGUUUCUUGCUGCUGCUAAUGGUGUGGAAGAGUUUCUUGUAAUAGGUGAUGUUGCACAAGAGGCUAUGCAGUCUGGAAAUCAGGAUUUUGCUGCAGCAGUUGAUUGCGCAGAAGAGGCCACACAUUCUGAAAAUGCAGAUGAAGCUGGCCCAUCAUUGUUUACAGAACAAGGUGCCGCGGCAGGUGAUUGCGGUGAAGAGGCUAUGCAGCCUGGAAAUCAGGAUUUUGCUGCAGCAGUUGAUUGUGCAGAAGAGGCCAUGCAGUCUGAAAAUGCAGCUGAAGCUGGCCCAUCGUCGUUUACAGAGCAAGGUGUUGCAGCAGGCGAUUGCAGUGAAGAAGCUUUGCAGCCUGGAAAUCAGGAUUUUUCUGCAGCAGUUGAUUACGCAGUAGAGGCCAUGAAGUCUGAAAAUGCAGCUGAAGCUGGCCCAUCAUCGUUAACAGAACAAGGUGUUGUGGCAGGUUAUUGCAGUGAAGAAGCUAUGCAGUGUGGAAAUCAGGAUUUUGUUGCAGCAGUUGAUUACGCAGAAGAGGCCAUGCAGUUCGAGAAUGCAGCUGAAGCUGGCCCAUUAUCGUCUACUGGACAAGGUGUCGUAGCAGGCGAUUGCAGUGAAGAGGCUAUGCAGUCUGGAAAGCAGGAUUUUGUCACAGCAGUUGAUUGCGUAGAAGAGGCUAAGCAGUCUGGAAAUGCAGUCGAAGGUGCCCCAUCAUCGUUUACAGAAGGUGUAGCAGCAGGUGAUUUUGCUGAAGAGGCUAUGCAGUAUAACCAUGAAGACAAAGCUGCUGAAUGCUCGUCAAUGACACGACAAGCUGCUUCAUCAUCCUUGUCAAUGACAGAACAAGGUGCUACUACAUCCUCACUAAGGACAGCGCAACAGAGUCACAAGAGAGAUGCAUUGAUAGAUUCCCCUCCCAUCGCAACUGUGGCGCCUUUUCCCCGGCAAUUCUGGAAGGCUGGGGGGUACAAGGUUGCUUCCCGAGCUUCCAUCAACAAUGGCCAGAACUGCUUAAGGAUUAAUCCCAAGUUUCUUCACUCGAAUGCUACGUCACACAAGUGGGUAUUUGGUGCUAUUGCAGAACUGCUCGACAACGCUGUUGAUGAGGUGCAGAACGGGGCAACCUAUGUGAAAAUAGAUAAAAUGAAAUAUUCUCCUGUUGGAGAGUAUUCGUUAAUGAUACAAGAUGAUGGAGGCGGUAUGAGUCCUGAGUAUCUUCGACAUUGUUUGAGCUUUGGAUUCUCCAAUAAAUGCACGAAUUCAUCAAUUGGACAAUAUGGAAAUGGCUUCAAAACCAGCACAAUGAGGCUUGGGGCAGAUGCUAUCAUAUUCAGCUGCAGAAAAGCUAAUAGCAGAUUGACACGAAGUGUUGGGCUGCUCUCUUACACAUUCCUCAAAGGAACCGGCUGCGAUGACAUAUUAGUGCCAGUGGUUGACUAUGAAUUUGAUCCUUCAUCCCGCAAUUUCAAGAGGAUAAUGGACCGUGGUGAAAAACAUUUUUCUUCCAAUUUGUCCACUCUUCUGAGGUGGUCUCAAUUUUCUACAGAAGAUGAUUUAUUGAAUCAAUUUGAGGACAUGGGAUGCCAUGGCACAAAAAUUGUUGUAUUCAACUUGUGGCUCAAUGAUGUGGAUGAAAUGGAGCUUGACUUUACAACUGAUGACGAGGAUAUUAUGAUGUCAGGAGCGCCUAAGAUACCAGAAGAACGCGCGAAAGUGAAAAGGUUGAAUCAUAUGCAUAUUGCAAAUCGCUUUCGAUAUUCACUUCGUGUUUAUGCAUCUAUACUAUACCUUCGUCUACCACAACACUUUAAAGUCAUCUUGUGUGGACGAACUGUUGAACCUCAUCAUAUUAUAAAGGACCUCAUAUACCGUGAAUGUAUCAAAUAUCAACCACAAGUUGGAACAAGCGUACAGGUUGAUGUCAUUACUUCAAUUGGCUUCUUAAAAGGUGCUCCACACCUGGAUAUCUAUGGAUUUAAUGUCUACCAUAGGAACCGUCUUAUUCUGCCAUUUUGGGCUGCAGGCUCUGAGAGAGGUCGAGGCAGAGGCAUUGCUGGGGUUUUGGAGGCGAACUUUAUACGACCUACACAUGAUAAGCAAGAUUUUGAGAAGACGGAACUUUUUCAGAGACUUGAGACGAGAUUAAAAGACAUGACAAUGGAGUAUUGGAGGCACCAUGCACAUUUGAUUGGCUACCAGCCAGUCACAAAAUCUCUUCCUCCAGCAUAUUAUACAUCUAUUGCUGCUACCAAUGACAGCUCAGUAGCCCAAGCUACAGCAACAACUUAUGCCAGGAACUCAAGAGCCAAGGCAUCUGGAGUGUUGAACUCCUGUUUCAAUGGAGGUAACUCAUUAAAUCCUUUGCAUGUUGGUGCCUUGAGGGAUCAAAUGGACUAUGGUGCAUGUUCUUUAGCAAGGAGAAAUAUGAGGACUUCAUUAUAUAUGCCAAGCACACCCCAGCAAACUGAACCGUGCAAAAGAAGAAACUCUGGCUCGAUGAUUGAAAUGAGGGCCCAAAAAAGGCACAACACAAAUGGCGUCAAUGUUGUUGAGAUAGGAGAGGAAAGGAGCAGUCUCUUACUUUGUCAGAACAUGAUGCUAAAGGCCGAGUGUUCCGAGCUCGAGGCGGCCGGGCAGACUCUCCGAAGCAAGAUUAUUAUACGCCUUGUUGCACAAGAUUCUGGCCCUUUGUUUCUUCAGACGGAUAAGUUCAGGGUCUGCUCCGCAAAUUCUAUCUACUACUAUAUCUCAACACACAUGGUAGAUGUGUAUUCAGAUCUCCUUGAGUUGUAUGAAGAGCACCUACAUGUUUCUUUCGACGCAUAA
rnacentral:rRNA from 1 species